GAUGAACGCUGGCGGCGUGCCUAAUACAUGCAAGUCGAGCGAACGGACGAGAAGCUUGCUUCUCUGAUGUUAGCGGCGGACGGGUGAGUAACACGUGGAUAACCUACCUAUAAGACUGGGAUAACUUCGGGAAACCGGAGCUAAUACCGGAUAAUAUUUUGAACCGCAUGGUUCAAAAGUGAAAGACGGUCUUGCUGUCACUUAUAGAUGGAUCCGCGCUGCAUUAGCUAGUUGGUAAGGUAACGGCUUACCAAGGCAACGAUGCAUAGCCGACCUGAGAGGGUGAUCGGCCACACUGGAACUGAGACACGGUCCAGACUCCUACGGGAGGCAGCAGUAGGGAAUCUUCCGCAAUGGGCGAAAGCCUGACGGAGCAACGCCGCGUGAGUGAUGGAGGUCUUCGGAUCGUAAAACUCUGUUAUUAGGGAAGAACAUAUGUGUAAGUAACUGUGCACAUCUUGACGGUACCUAAUCAGAAAGCCACGGCUAACUACGUGCCAGCAGCCGCGGUAAUACGUAGGUGGCAAGCGUUAUCCGGAAUUAUUGGGCGUAAAGCGCGCGUAGGCGGUUUUUUAAGUCUGAUGUGAAAGCCCACGGCUCAACCGUGGAGGGUCAUUGGAAACUGGAAAACUUGAGUGCAGAAGAGGAAAGUGGAAUUCCAUGUGUAGCGGUGAAAUGCGCAGAGAUAUGGAGGAACACCAGUGGCGAAGGCGACUUUCUGGUCUGUAACUGACGCUGAUGUGCGAAAGCGUGGGGAUCAAACAGGAUUAGAUACCCUGGUAGUCCACGCCGUAAACGAUGAGUGCUAAGUGUUAGGGGGUUUCCGCCCCUUAGUGCUGCAGCUAACGCAUUAAGCACUCCGCCUGGGGAGUACGACCGCAAGGUUGAAACUCAAAGGAAUUGACGGGGACCCGCACAAGCGGUGGAGCAUGUGGUUUAAUUCGAAGCAACGCGAAGAACCUUACCAAAUCUUGACAUCCUUUGACAACUCUAGAGAUAGAGCUUUCCCCUUCGGGGGACAAAGUGACAGGUGGUGCAUGGUUGUCGUCAGCUCGUGUCGUGAGAUGUUGGGUUAAGUCCCGCAACGAGCGCAACCCUUAAGCUUAGUUGCCAUCAUUAAGUUGGGCACUCUAAGUUGACUGCCGGUGACAAACCGGAGGAAGGUGGGGAUGACGUCAAAUCAUCAUGCCCCUUAUGAUUUGGGCUACACACGUGCUACAAUGGACAAUACAAAGGGCAGCGAAACCGCGAGGUCAAGCAAAUCCCAUAAAGUUGUUCUCAGUUCGGAUUGUAGUCUGCAACUCGACUACAUGAAGCUGGAAUCGCUAGUAAUCGUAGAUCAGCAUGCUACGGUGAAUACGUUCCCGGGUCU
rnacentral:rRNA from 1 species